AUAAGUUUCCUGGAGAUGUCGGUACUUUACUUACAACAAACUUCCGAGUGUUCUGGUAUUCUGAGACCAACGCUGGUCGUAAUGUAUCUAUUGGCUUUGGGAAAGUGAUUGCAGUUGGAAGACAGAAAAUAUAUUGUGGUGAACCAGAUGAAACACAAGUGUUGCGUUUACUCACAUAUGAUAGCCCAUUCCACAGAGAAUAUGUGUUCAAAAAUGCUAAUGAUGUGUAUAAUCUAUAUCAUAUUAAAGUACUUCCAGA